UCUCAGCCUAAGACAUUAAACUACAGAUGAGGUUGUGAGGAAGCAAACUUCAAACAAGUCUCAAGGAAACGAUUAUAGAACAUAGCAAACUUCAAGUCUCAAGGAAUCGAUCUAAGAUAAAAACAUAGCACAAGUUUUAAACGACUACAUGAAACACGUUACUACGUUAACGAUGUAAGCUAAGCACACUUCCAACUCACGUUGGGAAUUAGGAUAAUUUAAAAUACGAAGGGAUCUAAAUAGAGAUAUUAUUAUUAUGCUGCAUCAGACGGUAACAGAAACAAAUUUGACCAUGUCAACCAUCCCAUCCUCAAUCACAACAUCACACGACUCCUUCUGACCCCAAAUCUCUCCUCCUUGGCGCCUUUCCAAAGCAAUCUCUGCACAGCAAAUGACCUCUUUGCCGUCAUGGUUUUUAUGAAAGAAGAGAGCCAGCUUCUUCUCGCCAUAGCUCACCGCAUGGGACCUAACUGAAUCAGCAGUCUCCACGGCCAAAAAAUCUUUCAAACCAUUGACAACACUCCAACACCUCUGCUUUGGAUCAUACGCCUUCAACGCCAUCUCGAAACAAUCGUGAUAGUACAAGACAUCGUCAACCACACACGCACCCACCCAUAGGGAUGUCAAAUGGGCUUCAUAACCAUGGUUUAUCCAUGACCAAUUCCAAUUGGACUGACCAAAUUAGACCCAAAUUUUUAAGUUGUCCAAUUGGAUAAAAACCAUUUAAACCCAAAUUUAUUGGGCUUAUCCAUUUGGACAUGGACUUCCAAUAAUCUUAAAAAAUUAGGGUUGCAACAUUUGGGGAAAAAAUUGAAAUCGAUUCUCACUUUCUCCGAUCUCUCUCUCGCGAGUCGCGAGUCCCUCUCCGUUCUCCGCCUCGUUUCCCCGUCUCUGGAGCCGUGUCUCUCCGUCUCGACCCUCCUCUCUCUGCUUGGACUCUCCGUCUCUCACUCUAUCUUGUCUUCGAUUCGCUUCAGCCUUCAGAGUCUCGGCUCUCUCACUCUCCUAGAUCGAAGAAGCUCUCUCGUCCCGCCUCUCACUCUCGCGUCUGAAUCGUCUCCAUCCGAAGAACCGUCUCCGGCUCCGGCUCAAGCUCUCGUCUCUCAGCUUGAGUCUCACUCUCCUGGAUCGAAGAACAUUCGACUCUUUCUUUCAGGUAAAUCAAAACAACUGGGUUUGGUUUGUUUGAUUGUCUAGUUAAUGGGUCUGAUUGUGAAGUUUGUGCAUGCCUUUUGUGAUGUGAUGAAACUUGAGUGUGAUUCCAAGGAUUUGGAGAAACUUGUCGACCAAGCUGUCAUGCUUAGUUUAGGGUUUGGAGUAAAAAUGUGGUUCGUUUUUGUAGUAAUUAGUAAACGUUCAUGAACGUACGUAUGCCUUAAUUUUAUAUUUAUGAUUGUAGUGAUUGUAUUUAUGAUUAGUUUUAUCAUGUCGUGAUCUUUGAAUCCAGUUUUAUCAUGUCGUGAUUUUUUUAUUGUACUCAUGCUGUUGAUUCUCACGCUUAGACUUGUUUCUAAUGAGUCUUGUUUGCUUUCAGAUGGAUAUCAUGAGUUUAAACAACGAUGAUGACUACAUGAGUGAGCAUGAGGAUUCAGAACAGGAAAUGGACGAAAACAAUCCUGUGGUGGACGAGUCUCUCAUGAGUACAGCCGAGAUGGUGAAAGGUAAACACAAGCGUAGACAUUCUAAGUGUUGGAACUACUUCACAAUAGAAGGAGAUAAGAUGGCUGAUGGUAAAUUUAAAUGUGUCUGCAACUACUGUAAGCACUAUUACUUCCUAAACUUGCAUAAAAGUGGAACUAAUACUUUGCUUCGCCAUUCGAGACUCUGCUCUAAGACCCCUGGUAGUGCCCUAGCUGGGGCUAAGAAGAUUGAUCAGAUGGUAUUUCGAGAAAUGAUUGCUGUGGCAAUUGUCGAGCAUGAUCUCCCUUACGCUUUCGUUGAGUUUAGAAGGGUUAGGGAAGCGUUUUUGUAUGUCAACCCAACCGUUAAGUUCUGGUGUAGAAACACUGCAGUUUCAGAUGUU